UGCCUCUGUCGUCAAGCCCUUCAGCUUCUAGUGCUCACUCUUUCAUGAACUAGCUGGAGUCAGCAGGAGAGAGAGCAAUGCCUUGUUCAUCCAUCCAGGUGGGGCUCCGAGAGCUUCCAAACCAAUGGAUAAGAAGGAGGAGCCACAGAGGCUAGAAAAGACUGCCGACCACAGUUUGUCCCAUGUAGAACUUUCUGGAACAUUCAGCUGCAGAAAGUGAAUGGGCUCAAAGCUUUCUGUCUCCUUCUGAACAGGCUGUCUAUAAAAACAAAGGAAGCCUGGCUGCCUGGGAGACAGUUCUUGAUGGUUUCAAGACAAGCUGCAGUGUCUCUCUUGGCUGCAGGAUGGGAUGGUUGCCAUGAGUGAGGAGCACAGUUCACCUAAGGCUGCCCUUGUCAGGAGCGGGGAAAGGUGAGGAUGAAAAAUCUCUUAUGAGAGCCCAAAUCCACGUGUGUGCAUAGCUCAUGGAGAGCAUAACAUCUCAAUCAAAUUGUUUGCCGACAACAUUUAUUUCAGCUAAAUGAUACUUCAGAGAGGCCAUCCUUCUUCAUAUUCUCUGAAUCAAUCCAUUAACACAGCAUAAGGCAUCCAGGAAAUAAUGGCUGCAAACAAGCCUGGGAGCCAGAAAGAACGGCUUUGGUGGGUGUACUGGUGUGGAGGGAGCCAAGACCAGUAAGAAGCCUAAGGUCACAGAGUCUGCACCAGGAUCUCGGUGGUGGGAGUAACAGAGAAGAGCUGGGUCUAAAAGAUGUCAAGGAAUGAAAGUCCAUGGGAUUUAAGCAUGUGACCUCACAUGAGUUACUUAACUGCUCUUUUUUUUUCCCAUUUGUAAAGUGGGAUGUGGGAGGCAGAAUAAUGUCCCCCCACAUAGGUCCAUGUCCUUAUCCACAGAAACUGUGAAUACGUUAGGUUACCCAGUAAAGUGUUGGAUAAAGG
rnacentral:lncRNA from 10 species